UAAGGAGGCAGUACUGAUGAGAUUUGGUAAUCCAUAGGAUAUGAGAGGAGUCCUGCAGGUGGCUGGCUGGUCAAGCUGGAAGAGUAGGGUUUGGGUGAUGUCUGCUCUGAGUCACAUUCCGGGACAUGUGAGUAUUUUAGGCUAAAGGAGAAAAGUCCAGUAGACAUGCAGGGAGCCUUCCUCAUGUACUUGAAAGGAAAGACCUGCUCUAUGUUGUUCUUAAAAGGCCAAUAUUUUGAAAUUCCAA
rnacentral:lncRNA from 1 species